rnacentral:rRNA from 1 species
CAGUCGCCGCGGUAAAACGGAGGGUGCAAGCGUUAAUCGGAAUUACUGGGCGUAAAGCGCACGCAGGCGGUUUGUUAAGUCAGAUGUGAAAUCCCCGAGCUUAACUUGGGAACUGCAUUUGAAACUGGCAAGCUAGGGUCUUGUAGAGGGGGGUAGAAUUCCAGGCGUAGCGGUGAAAUGCGUAGAGAUCUGGAGGAAUACCGGUGGCGAAGGCGGCCCCCUGGACAAAGACUGACGCUCAGGUGCGAAAGCGUGGGGAGCAAACAGGAUUAGAGACCCCUGUAGUCCCUGUCUCUUAUAC